CUCGGAUCAGGUAGGGAUACCCGCUGAACUUAAGCAUAUCAAUAAGCGGAGGAAAAGAAACCAACAGGGAUUGCCCUAGUAACGGCGAGUGAAGCGGCAACAGCUCAAAUUUGAAAUCUGGCUCUUUCAGAGUCCGAGUUGUAAUUUGCAGAGGGCGCUUUGGCGUUGGCAGCGGUCCAAGUUCUUUGGAACAGGACGUCACAGA
rnacentral:rRNA from 1 species